UCGAUCAAUCAUGGUGAGAUAGUAUCUGAAAUCCUGUACUUGUGGCAUAACAACGAUGUCUAAAUGCACAUGAUCAAAUCGAUUGUCUGGAACAUCGAUUUCGUUCGGAGUUAAACGAUUAUGUCUGGUAAUCUUCGCUGUUUGACAAUGAAGACAUCGACGACAAUAAUCGAUUAUGUCUUUUUUAAUUCCGGGCCAGAUGUACCUUGUUCGAAUUUGCUGUAGUGUUGAACGACCGCUAGGGUGUGAAAGUCCGUGUGUAGCGUUGAAAAUUUCUUUGCGCAAUGCUUUUGGAAUGUAUGGACGGACAUGUCCCGUUGAGAUGUCACAAUAUAUUGACGUAUUUCCGAAGUGAAUUAUUUGCAGCUUCAAAGAAUUGUUACCUUCAAUGAUAGUUUUUAACUCUUCGUCGGAUUCUUGAGAUUUUUGAAUGUCUUCGUGUGAGACGCUUGAAGGCAUUGAGAUUUCGUUGAGUCUUGAAAAUGCAUCUGCAACGGUAUUGCUAGGCCCAGAAAGAUAUACUAUAUCUGUAGUAACUGAGAUAUAAAAUCUAAAUUUCGGAGUUGUCUGGGCGAUGCUUUUUAAUGUCGUUGAGAGAAUGCGUAUUUAUGAUGACGAAAUGUCGUGCUUCCAGCAUAUGUCGAAAAUAUUUCACAGCUUUGUAAAUGGCGAGCAGUUCAUGAUCGUAUGUGCUGUAUGCUUUUUCGGAUUUUAAUAACAUACUCGAGUAAAAUCUUAGAGGUCUCCAUGUACCGUUGAAGUUUUGUUCUAAGACGGCACCGACGGCAGUGUCUGAUGCAUCCGUUACUAAUGCUAGUUCUAGGUCUGGAGCUGGAUGUCCAAGCAUUGUGUCUUCACAAAGGCUUUGUUUGCAGGUCUCAAAAACGGUUUCUAAUUCCGGUGCCCAUGGUACUUUGCGUUUGUUGUUUUUCUUGGAGUUCCCAACGAGUUCGUUUAAGGAUGCUUGUUGAUGUGCUGCGUCUGUAGUAGUUUAAGACACCAAUAAAACGACGAAGUUCGCAGACGGUUUCUGGCUUCUUAUAAUUUUUGAUAGCCUCAAUACGAUCUGUAGGCGGAGAACAACCAUUUGCGUAAAUUACGUAGCCAAGAAGUCUUACCUCAGGUACACCAAAAUGACAUUUGUUCGGAUUAAUGGUGAGUCCAUAUCGGAGUAAAAUUUCGAAGACUGUACGAAGAUGUUCUCGAUGUUGUUGUAGAGAUUCGGACAUUAUGAUGAUGUCAUCAAUGUAACAAUAAACGAAGUCAAUCCCUCUGAACACGUUGUCCAUGAAACGUUGGAAGGUCUGUGUGCCGUUCCUUAAACCAAAAGGCAUGUACAAAAAUUCCAACAGUCCGAAUGGUGUACAUACUGCUGUUUGUGCAAUGUCUCCUUCAGCCAUUGGCAUUUGAUUGUAGGCUCUGGCAAGGUCAAGGGUAUUAAAAAAUGACUAACCAUGCAGGUUUUCAGAAAAAUCGUGUAAGUGUGCCACGGGUAAAGGUCUGGAACUGUUUGUGAGUUGAGUUUGCGGUAGUCACCGCAGACGCGCCAACCACCAGUUUUCUUCGCGACCAUAUGUAUAGGACUAGCCCAAGCACUCUUUGACGGACGACAAAUACCUUGUUCGAUUAGAUACUCCAUUUCGGCUUUAGCUGAUUUUAAUUUAUCAACUGAAAGACGGCGUGGACGAUCGGCAACUGGAGUUCCUGUUGUUUCGAUGUGAUGAACGACGAUCAAUUCAUAUGUUGGCUUCCGAAGCGUUGUCGUUUUUGUAAUAUCUUCAAACUCCCUUAGCAGGUCUGCGAAGGAUGAUGCGGAAUUCGAAAUUCCAAACUCUUUGGUUUGUAAGAUUUCACCACGAGUGGAAUCUAUAAGAAAUCGGGUAUUUGUUGAUUUGUCGUAAAGAAGUAGACGUCUUUCACGUGUGUUGUUGUUGUUGUCGCUGUCGCCAACCGAUUUGACUGACGACAGCACAGUUAGUUUUCCGACUGAAAUCUUGCACAAUCAGGUUUACAUUUUCUUGCGUUGUCGCCAAAUUUUUUAUGGAAAUAGCAUAAAUUCCGUUGGUUUGAAUUGAAUUGUUGAACGAUUCCGGGAUUUGGAACGAUGUCGUGUGUUCUUACCAAUUUGUUGUUGAAUUUUAUCAACUUUCUCCGAAAGUUCUCUCAUAGUUUGGCACAUAUCGGUGAAAGACAUUCGUUGGUUAAUGGCAUCAACAACUGGUUGUAGCGAUGAAGGAAGAGAAUUGACACAAUUGUUAUUGUUGGCUUCAAACAUUUUGUCAGCGGUCUUCGCCAAUUUCUCAAGGCCUUCUUCCUCCCAGGCGGUAAGAAAAGGUCUCAUGUUUUCAGGCAUUUGUCCAAGAAACAGUGUUCGGAUGAUUGCCUCAUUGCCUUUACCUGGAGCAAGUCGUUUCAUGUGAGCUAAAAUUGACGUUGGCUUCAUGCUGUUCGUUUCACUACCUUGUAUUAAACGUCGCAGUUUUGACUUGACAAAUUUGGAAAUAAUUCUGUCCUUAAGCGCAGAAUAUUUGUUCGAGUUUGGUGGAUUUGUAAUAAGGUCUUCAACUGUCAACAAUGCUUCGUCUUCAAGACGGACACACACUAGGUCGAAUUCGUCGUUAUCCGAUGUUAUGCUGCAAAAAGCAAAAGAACCUUCAACUCGUGCAAACCAUAAAUGUGGGUUCCGUUCGUUGAAUUUAGGAAUGUGCACCUUUUGUUGCUGUGCACGCUGCUGCUUUCGAAAAAUUCAGCUUCUUCUUCACUACUGUGGGAGUCCGGUUCUUUAUAGGUGACUGGAAUACGUUGUCUCAGUUUGUGUGUUGCAUGAUUCAUAAGUUUGCAAAAAUGUUCUUGCAGGCUGGUUCUGAGAAACGAAAUGCCCGUUGAAAUUGAUGUUGAUCAAAAUUGAGCAUGCACGUUCGUUUGGUGAGUGCGUGUGUACGACUGUGUUGUGAAGUUCUACGAAUGUUUCCAAAAUUUGCUUGUUGCAAAUGUUAUUUUUGUUUGUCCGUGGACGAGGUAGUUGAAGAAUUAAAACACAGCAGUUAUCUAAACAACUCUCUAAUAACUAUUUUAUUUAAUAUUAGUUCAACAAAGACAAUAAAAGUAAUUCAAUUUCAACAAGGUCGAUUUGCCACAACUAUGGUGGUGUAGAUUUAGCGAGCAACUAACUAAAUUAGAUUUAUUAGUACAUAUUUCUAAAUGGUGUUUAAAUAAUAGAUAUUUUUCCAUAUAAAUUGGCGUCAACAUACUGGCCUACAUGAUGAGUAUUUUGGAUAAAAUUGUAGAAAAAAUAUUUCAAAUGUAAGUUCGAUAAAAUUGAGUUCGAUGUCUUUGUUCUUUUUUUAUUUACUAUUAUCGAUAUUUCGUUCUCAGACGGAAGACAUCAUCGGGAACAAUAAUAUUUAAACCGGAACUAUUUCAAAUUUAGUAUUUGAAUUUCAUAAUGAAUACUACAGCCUAUGACAGAAAAUUGUGCAGGUCCACGUCUUCGUGUAGUCCCCAUAUAACGGUACCCACCGAUAUUCGGUAUUUUGAUGAUUUUGGCUACAUUAUUCACCGAUAUUUUUUAAGUUUCGUAUUUGAAUAUUGUCAUAGCUUGUGACACGUCGUCGUAUAGACCCUAUUGUACGGCAACAUUCGGUAUUGUUAAGAUUUUAAUAAAAUUUUUAACGGAUUUUAUUUUUUUGAAAAUUGCCAAAUUCGUACCAAAUGGUGGAGUUCAUUCAAAGUUCGGCCCGGUCGAACUUACAGCUUUUUUACUUGUUUCUUCUAAAAAGACACACUAGAGCACGUAGUUUACUAUAUAUUGAUAAGACAAAUUUUUAUGAUAACUCCAUAUAUGUUCAAAUUGUGUAGAAAUCGUUUAAUUGCCAAUAUUUCAAUUUAGCAUGCUCCUGGUAUACCAAAAGUUCUUGUGGGCAAUAGACUCCAUUUGGCAUUCAAAAGGCAAGUUGCAGCAAAGCAAGCGGAACUAUAUGCUUCGCAAAAUAAUAUGUCAUGUUUCGAAAUAUCACCACUAUGUGAUCUCAAUAUAAGGGAAUCAUUCUGCGAAUUGGCACGUCUGGUUUUGCAUAGAAAUGGAAUGGAAAAAAUAUGGUGUAAUAUUUUAUCACUUCACGAGAUAGUGUCGAACUAUUGUGAGACGAACAAGUGUAUAUGCUAUUGAAUCAUUGUCAUUGCCUACAUCUGUAACAUCGACCUUAAAAUCAUAUGUACUUACAAUGUCUCAGUGUUUUAAUACAUUAAGUAGCACAUCAAAAAACAAAAAUCGAUGCAAGGCGCAACAGUUGCUAUAUUAAGUGAUUUUAUCACAUAAGAAAUAAUCUAAAUAUACAUUUUUUGUAGUCAUAAAAUAUAUUUUCUUUUUAAUAACAACUCAAUAGAAACCACAUGAUUAUAUGAUGGGGUUUAUUUACAA